CGGCGAGAAGGAAAGAACUAGACUUUCCGGUUACGCAAGAAUUAGAAAAGUUUUUGGGCUUAGAUCACGGUCCUUUAUUGGCCCGUUACAGGGUUGUCAACCUCCGUGAGACGACUGGCUCUAGUACAAGAUGUACAUAUCGACCUGACGACUGGCGAGUAGCCUGUCUGGGAUGCUUCAUGUACAUAGUCCAGAUGAACCAGCACGGAAUAGAUUCAUGCUCUUUGAACGAGGUCAUGAACCUGGACGGGUCCCAUUUAAAGGACCGAAACUAGUCGGACGAGUUGAACGGCCUAUUUCUGGCAGUAAGUAGGACAGAGGCCGCAGCGCUCGAGCAAGAUGUAAACACGAGAGUGCAGGAGCACUGAGAGCACCGGUUGGUCCAGCGGCACAGAGAUUCGCAGAAGAAUGAAAAAGCAUAAUUU